GCCCCGGUAGCUCAGCGGGUAGAGCAAUCGCCUUGUAAGCGAUGGGUCGUGGGUUCAAAUCCCACCCGGUGCU
rnacentral:tRNA from 1 species